UGUGGGGCUCUAAAGGAUAUGCUUUGUGUAAAGCAGUGUUAUCUCCCCCCUUCCUUUCCCAGCUACAUAAACGAGCUCGGGGUCAUGGCCCCUUCCUCCCUUCCCUGUGAGCUGCUGAUCAAGAGAACUUGUGCCUGCAAUUACUGCAAAGAAAUAGAUCUUCAAGGAAGAAAAAUCUAUAAUGGCAGCAGGCCGUAAAAGAGAGACCCAGUUUGACAAUAUUUAAAUGUAGUUCCUCUACCCGUGGGUAAGACAGGCAUGCGUGCAAAAUGCAAACAGUGCAACAAAGAAAUGCAAGGCCUGGUUGCCUGAAUAAAACAACAUCAUGAGAAGUGUUCCAUCUCAUGAAGAAGCUGCGCUGAAGAUGAAAGGAAACAUGUCUGAACAUGCAGGAUCUUCAGGAGAAUCCAUCCUCAACACAUAGGAUUCUGAAGACUAUCCACCUUCAAGAUCACCAUCAUUUUCUAUAGUUUCAGAGUUAUCUGCCAAUGAUAGUGUUUCAGUCACAUCGUGUAUGUCACAUAGCCACAGUAUAUCACCUUUAGCAAAAAGAAAAAAAAAACUCCAUCAUCCGGAAACAACCACAGAUAAGUUUAUGAUAAGAACCAGCAGAUUAAAAAAAGAGGUAAUCGAUGAAAAAACUGCCUGGUUUGUUUAUGAAACAAACUCUCCUUUCUUUCUGACUGAGAACCCACACUUCAUUAACUUGGUUCAGUCAUUAAGACCAGGAUAUAGUCCACCCAACAGAGCAGAUAUUGCAAAAAAAUUGCUGGAUAAAAUGUAUGAAAGAGAACUUGAGCAGUGUGCAAAAGGUAUAGAGGGUAAAAUUGUUAACCUGAGUCUUGAUGGGUGGAGCAAUGUCCACAAUGAUCCUUCUGUUGUCACACAAGCACAUACGACAGAAGGGAAUGCCUUCCUUAC